rnacentral:rRNA from 1 species
UAAGGAAUAUUGGUCAAUGGACGCAAGUCUGAACCAGCCAUGCCGCGUGAAGGAUGAAGGUCCUCUGGAUUGUAAACUUCUUUUAUCUGGGACGAAAACGGGAUUUUUAUCUCAAUUGACGGUACCAGAGGAAUAAGCACCGGCUAACUCCGUGCCAGCAGCCGCGGUAAUACGGAGGGUGCGAGCGUUAUCCGGAUUUACUGGGUUUAAAGGGUGCGUAGGUGGGCUUAUAAGUCAGUGGUGAAAUCUCCGAGCUUAACUUGGAAACUGCCGUUGAUACUAUAGGUCUUGAAUUAUCUGGAGGUAAGCGGAAUAUGUUAUGUAGCGGUGAAAUGCUUAGAUAUGACAUAGAACACCAAUUGCGAAGGCAGCUUACUACAUAUAAAUUGACGCUGAGGCACGAAAGCGUGGGGAUCAAACA